rnacentral:rRNA from 1 species
CCUACGGGAGGCAGCAGUGGGGAAUCUUGCGCAAUGGGCGAAAGCCUGACGCAGCCAUGCCGCGUGAAUGAUGAAGGUCUUAGGAUUGUAAAAAUUCUUUCACCGGGGACGAUAAUGACGGUACCCGGAGAAGAAGCCCCGGCUAACUUCGUGCCAGCAGCCGCGGUAAUACGAAGGGGGGCUAGCGUUGCUCGGAAUUACUGGGCGUAAAGGGAGCGUAGGCGGAUAGUUUAGUCAGAGGUGAAAGCCCAGGGCUCAACCUUGGAAUUGCCUUUGAUACUGGCUAUCUUGAGUAUGGGAGAGGUUAGCGGAACUCCGAGUGUAGAGGUGAAAUUCGUAGAUAUUCGGAAGAACACCAGUGGCGAAGGCGGCUAACUGGCCCAUUACUGACGCUGAGGCUCGAAAGCGUGGGGAGCAAACAGGAUUAGAUACCCUGGUAGUCCACGCCGUAAACGAUGAGUGCUAGUUGUCGGCAUGCAUGCAUGUCGGUGACGCAGCUACGACAUUAAGACACUCCGCCGUCGGGGAGGUACGGGUCGGCGAAGAAGUUAAAACGUUAACGUAAAGGUAAAGUUAGUUACGGUACGUUGAGACGUUGCCGACGGACGACCGACGAGGGGAGGUUAGG